rnacentral:rRNA from 1 species
CACUGACGGUAUCGUCAAACACGCUCCCUGGGGGUUCUUCCCAGGGUAGAAGUGCCUUUGCCCCCGCCGGGGGCGAGGCCGCCGCUCGGGAGAUGAGCGCCCGAUUUGCGGUCCGUUCGGGAACCGUGCGGAGAGGUUCGCCCUCCCGCGCGGCCGAAGGAUAGUGGCUCUUUGGAAUGGAAACACGUGAACCGUCUUGUCGAAAGCAAAACUUGAUGGAACGAAUGAUCCAUCGACACCGCAAACGACUCCGGGCGGUGGAUCACUCGGCUCGCAGAUCGAGGAAGGACGGAGCCAACUCCGUGAAACACGGCGAAUUGCAGGGCGCCAAGAAACCGCCACAGUUUGAACGCAUAUUGCGGCCUUGGCAGCGAUGUCGAGGCCACGCCUGUUCGAGGGUCUGAUUACAUCUUGCCCGUCUCGGAAUUUUGCGUUCCGGGCAUCGGACUUCGCGUCGGACGUCUGUAGGUCCUCCGGGCCGAAGGACGAAGGACGCGUGGUCCCAAGAUCGGAACGAAGCCGAGGGGAGACGGACUGUCUCGCACGCCGGACGUCCGGUGGCGUAAAGCUGCCGGCUGUCGUGGGCCGUGACGCCGAGAUUCCCUCCUGGCCGGCGGAAUGUUUUUCAUUCGUGCCGGGAGGUUCGAGACUCGUGCGGGUGGGUCCCACGUCAGAGAUCGGCCGUAGCGACGGUUCGUGCGUACCUUCCGUGCGUGUGUUCUCGUCUUUCUUUCUGUCGGACCUCGGAUCAGGCGGGAUUACCCGCUAAAUUUAA